rnacentral:rRNA from 1 species
GAUGAACGCUGGCGGCGUGCCUAAUACAUGCAAGUCGAGCGAAUGGAUUAAGAGCUUGCUCUUAUGAAGUUAGCGGCGGACGGGUGAGUAACACGUGGGUAACCUGCCCAUAAGACUGGGAUAACUCCGGGAAACCGGGGCUAAUACCGGAUAACAUUUUGAACCGCAUGGUUCGAAAUUGAAAGGCGGCUUCGUCUGUCACUUAUGGAUGGACCCGCGUCGCAUUAGCUAGUUGGUGAGGUACGGCUCACCAAGGCAACGAUGCGUAGCCGACAUGAGAGGGUGAUCGGACACACUGGGACUGAGACACGGCCCAGACUGCUACGGGAGGCAGCAGUAGGGAAUCUUCCGCAAUGGACGAAAGUCUGACGGAGCAACGCCGCGUGAGUGAUGAAGGCUUUCGGGUCGUAAAACUCUGUUGUUAGGGAAGAACAAGUGCUAGUUGAAUAAGCUGGCACCUUGACGGUACCUAACCAGAAAGCCACGGCUAACUACGUGCCAGCCGCCGCGGUAA